rnacentral:snoRNA from 1 species
AUUGAAUUAAGCCCUGUGAUGAUGUCCUAAUGAAUUUGAGUGGUGCCGCUUGGUUGUUUCUAGCCGAGACUCAUCAUCUCCA